rnacentral:misc_RNA from 1 species
GGCCCCCUGCUUUUCGGCAGCACGACCGUUGGGUGUCGCUACGUGUGCGCUUCCGCUUCUCGAUGGUUUCCUCGAUUCAUUCGCUGCUUGUGUGGUCUAAUCCCCUCACCUUGUGGAAUCGGUUGCUUCUGUUGAUCUGCUUGGUAGGCCUUUCCACGGCAAUUCACGCCUGGUUGCUGCCUAUGGAUGUGCUCGUGCGCACCCUCGUGGCGCCUUGCAGAGGUUUCUCUUUUGGUGUCAUGAGUCCGUCGCGUCGACACAAUCUCGGUCUCGUCGGUGGCGGUCGAACAUGCGGUCAUCGUGGUUCCCGUCGUAGGGGCCCUUUGUCCAAUAGUAGCUGCGUGUUCGCAGCGGUUGGCUCUUCGGAUGUACCUCGGCAGGGCGCGGUGCUUCGGCUCCCGCGUCGCUGCUGGCGAAGGUGCUGUGCUACCUGGUUGAUCCUGCCAGUAGUCAUAUGCUUGUCUCAAAGAUUAAGCCAUGCAUGUGCAUGUAUGAACAAAUUCGGACUGUGAA